UGGCGCAACCCGGCCGCCUCUGGCCCGGCCUCGCUCCUCCCCGCCGUCGUCGCCUUCCCCGACCGCCACCGCGCGGCCGCCUUCUCCGCCGCCCGCAGCGCCGCCGACCUCAAGCAGACCUUCGCCGCCUGGAUGACGGAGCAGCACUGGGAGGACAUGAAGCAGCUCUUCGAGCUCUGGGUCCGCUCCCUCGACGCCGCCACCGGCAAGCCCAACCGCCCCGACGUCGACCUCUUCAACCACUACCUCCGCGCCAACCUCAUGUCCGGCGCCCUGCCGCACGAGAUGCUCGACCUCGCCGACCAGAUGCGCGAGUUCGACCUCGCGCCCAACACCGCCUCCUACAACCUCGUCCUCAAGACCAUGGUCAAGGCCCGCGAGGUCGAAGGGGCCGAGAAAAUCGUCGAACGGAUGCUGCAAACAGGAAUUGUGCCAGAUGAUGAAUCCUACAAUUUGGUUGUAGAUCUGCUUCUUAGACACAACCGUGCUGACUCAGCCUUCAAAUAUUUGGAAUUGAUGCUUAAAUCAGGCUACGCGGUAUCUUCACUUGUAUUUGCUGAGUAUGUCCGAGUAUGUGUUAAAUCUGGGAGUUUGGACACAUUGGCAUCAAUCAUAGAGAAGUGCAAGGCAACAGAGAAGAACAAACUCUUGUGUCCACAAUGGGCCUGGUGCAUUGACAUAGCAGAAGCUGCUUUUGAAGCUAACAAUAGCAAGCUAGCCAUGUUUGGUUUGGAAUUUCUUGCGAGAUGGAUUGCACAUGGCGAGGGUUCUAAACCCCCUAUUCACCGUUCAGUCGAUGAAGGUUUAGUACUCUCAGCUUUCAGUGCUGCUGGUAGAACCUGCAGCAGUGACCUCUUGAACGCUGCUUGGUCAAUAUUACGCAAGUCCUUGCGCCAGAAAAGGGCACCCAUGCCAGAGACUUAUCUUGCGAAGAUUUAUGCUCAUUCAUCAAUUGGUCAACUCCAACGAGCUUUUGGCACUCUUCGUGAAUUUGAAAAUGCCUAUAGGAACUUUGAGGGUAUCGAUAAAGAGCUCUUCUCACCAUUUACUUCAUUGCAACCACUUGUUGUUGCUUGCUGCAAGGAUGGCUUCACCACAUUGGACUCGGUUUAUGUUCAAUUAGAGAAUCUGAGUUCCGCGGAUCCACCAUACAGAUCUGUUGCUGCUCUUAACUGUGUUAUACUAGGCUGUGCAAAUAUUUGGGACAUUGAGCGAGCAUACGAAACUUUUGAGGCAAUGAAAGAAAAGUUUGGGCUUACGCCUGACAUACAUUCGUACAAUGCCCUGUUGCAUGCAUUCGGGAAGCUAAAAAAGACAGAGGAAGCUAGUAAUGUAUUCCAGCAUUUAGUAAGCCUUGAGGAUGUUAAGCCAAAUGCAACAACAUACUCCCUGCUUGUUGAUGCGCAUCUUGUCAACCGAGAUCCAAAAGCUGCUCUUGCUGUUCUUGACGAAAUGGUUGAUGUGGGCUUCACUCCUUCAAAGGAGACUCUUAAGAAGGUCCGAAGACGCUGCUCCCGUGAAUCAGACUUCGACAGCGACGAGAAGCUGCAGUCCCUGUGUAAACGGUUGAACUUGCGGAUGGGCGGUGAGGCCCGUAGGGAGUUGCUGUAUAACAUCGAAUACAGUGCCGAGUACUGA
rnacentral:rRNA from 1 species